GACAGAGGUGCCGAGCGUUAGGCGGAAUCACUGGGCUUAAAGCGGGUGUAGGCGGGAUCGUAAGUACCUUGUGAAAUCCCACGGCUCAACCGUGGAACUGCUUGGUAUACUGGUUCUCUUGAGCCACCUAGGGGCAACCGGAACAAACGGUGGAGCGGUGAAAUGCGUAGAUAUCGUUUGGAACGCCAAUGGUGAAAACAGGUUGCUGGGGGUGUGCUGACGCUGAGACACGAAAGCCAGGGGAGCAAACGGG
rnacentral:rRNA from 1 species